rnacentral:rRNA from 1 species
GAUGAACGCUGGCGGCGUGCUUAACACAUGCAAGUCGAACGAUGAAGCCCAGCUUGUUGGGUGGAUUAGUAGCGAACGGGUGAGUAACACGUGAGUAACCUGCCCUUGCUUCUGGGAUAAGCCUGGGACACUGGGUGUAAUACUGGAUAUGACUUCUCAUCGCAUGGUGGGGGGUGGAAAGAUUUAUUGGCAUUGGAUGGACUCGCGGCCUAUCAGCUUGUUGGUGAGGUAAUGGCUGACCAAGGCGACGACGGGUAGCCGGCCUGAGAGGGUGACCGGCCACACUGGGACUGAGACACGGCCCAGACUCCAACAGGAGGCAGCAGUGGGGAAUAUUGCGCAAUGGGCGCAAGCCUGAUGCAGCGGCGCCGCGUGUGGGAUGACGGCCUUCGGGUUGUAAACCUAUUUCAGUAGGGAAGAAGCGAGAGUGACGGUACCUGCAGAAGAAGCGCCGGCUAACUACGUG